rnacentral:rRNA from 1 species
CCUACGGGAGGCAGCAGUGGGGAAUAUUGGGCAAUGGAGGAAACUCUGACCCAGCGACGCCGCGUGAGGGAUGAAGGCCUUCGGGUUGUAAACCUCUUUCAGUAGGGAAGAAGCGAAAGUGACGGUACCUACAGAAGAAGCACCGGCUAACUAUGUGCCAGCAGCCGCGGUAAUACAUAGGGUGCAAGCGUUGUCCGGAAUUAUUGGGCGUAAAGAGCUCGUAGGUGGUUCGAUACGUCGGAUGUGAAAAUCAGGGGCUCAACCCCUGACCUGCAUCCGAUACGGUCGAGCUGGAGUUUGGUAGGGGAGACUGGAAUUCCUGGUGUAGCGGUGGAAUGCGCAGAUAUCAGGAGGAACACCGAUGGCGAAGGCAGGUCUCUGGGCCAAUACUGACACUGAGGAGCGAAAGCGUGGGGAGCGAACAGGAUUAGAUACCCUGGUAGUCCACGCCGUAAACGGUGGGCGCUAGUUGUGCGAACCUUCCACGGUUUGUGCGACGCAGCUAACGCAUUAAGCGCCCCGCCUGGGGAGUACGAUCGCAAGAUUAAAACUCAAAGGAAUUGACGG